CGGGGUGAGUAAUGUCUGGGAAACUGCCUGAUGGAGGGGGAUAACUACUGGAAACGGUAGCUAAUACCGCAUAACGUCUUCGGACCAAAGUGGGGGACCUUCGGGCCUCACGCCAUCGGAUGUGCCCAGAUGGGAUUAGCUAGUAGGUGGGGUAAUGGCUCACCUAGGCGACGAUCCCUAGCUGGUCUGAGAGGAUGCCAGCCACACUGGAACUGAGACACGGUCCAG
rnacentral:rRNA from 1 species